UACGGAAGGCAGCAGUGGGGAAUAUUGCACAAUGGGCGAAAGCCUGAUGCAGCUAUGCCGCGUGUAUGAAGAAGGCCUUAGGGUUGUAAAGUACUUUCAUCGGGGAAGAAAAAACAAAACUAAUAAUUUUAUUUCUUGACGUUACCCGAAAAAGAAGCACCGGCUAACUCCGUGCCAGCAGCCGCGGUAAUACGGAGGGUGCUAGCGUUAAUCAGAAUUACUGGGCGUAAAGAGCACGUAGGUGGUUUUUUUAAGUCAGAUGUGAAAUCCCUGGGCUUAACCUAGGAACUGCAUUUUGAAACUGAAAUACUAGAGUAUCGUAGAGGGAGGUAGAAUUCUAGGUGUAGCGGUGAAAUGCGUAGAUAUCUGGAGGAAUACCUGUGGCGAAAGCGGCCUCCUAAACGAAUACUGACACUGAGGUGCGAAAGCGUUGGGGAGCAAACAGGGAUUAGAUACC
rnacentral:rRNA from 1 species